AGGACGAACGCUGGCGGCGUGCUUCAUACAUGCAAGUCGAACGAGAAGUUACCUCGGGUAAUGGAAAGUGGCGGACGGGUGAGUAAUGUGUAGAGAAUCUGCCCUAGAGUGGGGGACAACAGUUGGAAACGACUGCUAAUACCGCAUAUGAGCGUAGCUGGAAUGCUAUUCUUGAAAACUUCGGUGCUCUGGGAUGAGUCUGCAUCUGAUUAGCUAGUUGGCGGUGUAAUGGACCACCAAGGCGACGAUCAGUAGCUGGUUUGAGAGGAUGAUCAGCCACAAUGGGACUGAGACACGGCCCAUACUCCUACGGGAGGCAGCAGUAGGGAAUUUUGCGCAAUGGGCGAAAGCCUGAACCGCAGCAACGCCGCGUGAUUGAAAAAGCCCUUCGGGGUGUAAAGAUCUGUCAGUAGGGACGAAACUUGACGGUACCUACAGAGGAAGCAUCGGCUAACUCCGUGCCAGCCGCAGC
rnacentral:rRNA from 1 species